AUGCAAUCACGCACGGCUUCAGACCUACAGCGCGUCGUGGGCAGCACCAGUUGGAAAAAGCAGGGCGGCAUGGGCAGCGGCGUGGAGAAGACCAAGGCGGCCGCGUCCACGGGGCUGAAGAAGGUGAAUGAGGGCACCCCGCACGGGUUCCAGUGGAUCAAGGGCAAGGUGCAGAAGAAGAAGCAGGGUGCAGCAUCCAGGCUCGGUUGA
rnacentral:rRNA from 1 species